UACGAAGGGGGCUAGCGUUGUUCGGAAUUACUGGGCGUAAAGCGCACGUAGGCGGACUACUAAGUCAGGGGUGAAAUCCCGGGGCUCAACCCCGGAACUGCCUUUGAUACUGAUAGUCUCGAGUCCGGAAGAGGUGAGUGGAAUUCCGAGUGUAGAGGUGAAAUUCGUAGAUAUUCGGAGGAACACCAGUGGCGAAGGCGGCUCACUGGCCCGAUACUGACGCUGAGGCACGAAAGCGUGGGGAGCAAACAGGG
rnacentral:rRNA from 1 species